ensembl:lncRNA
CCUGCGCCUCCCGUUCAUUCACUGUUCCUCCACCCGACAGAGAAAACGAGCCUCCAUCACCUCCAGCAUGAAGACGCUGAGCAUCGUUUCCCUCGCAGUUCUGCUGCUGGCUCUCCGUCUCAGCUCUCAGGUGGCCGAGGCACAAGGUAAAAGCGGAACCGGAGGCACCAACACCCAGAACUCGACUACAGCCGCACCGUCGAGCGCCAGCGGGAGUCCCGCCGCCUUCACGCUGCUCGUCGCUCCGCUGCUUCUGUCCACGGUUCUCCUGCACGGCUGGUCCGGAUGAUCUGAUCCGCGCUGGACAUUCGGAAGCCGGCAGGGGACACAACGUUAGUGUUUAAUAAAAGGCAGAAAAAGGAAAUCACAUAAAGUAGGGAGCUUAACUAUUUACUGUUGAGCGGGCGAAACGAGCGCGACGCGCCCCGGGCCCCGUCGCGCCCCGGGCCGCGCCCUGCUCCUUUCCGCAUCCUGCUCUUCAUCAACUCUGAAACGCAACCAAUCCUCCCGCCAGUAACGGAACAUGCUCGAUGAUAAUUCAGAAAUAUUGAACCCUGUGGAAAACAUGUGUAUUCAUGUGUCUGACAACGACUGUAUGUAAAUGAGUUCUGUACUUUCAGAAUGAUGCAAAUCUGAUGUUUGACAUGUGAAUGCUGUGAAAUUAAACUUUAAAUUGUAAAAAAUA